UCAACAAAAUGCAAUUAGAAAAAGCGGUAAAUUAAGUACAUAACUGACUUGCAAUAGUUUCAUUCAUGAAAAAAUUGCAAGCAGUUCACUAAAAUGAAGUUUUUAUUCAAUGGAGCUCGUAAUGGAUAAAUUGACAACUAUUGUGGAAAUAAUCACUUUAUUUGCUCGUAUUAAAUUAUCAGCAGUAUUUAUUACUUAGGCAUCAUUGAUAUCCCGACAAACUACCGAAUACGAAAUGCAUCGACAUCAACGAGUGGGCGUGCGAAGUGCUGUCCUGCUUAUGCACAUUGUUAUGUUCUCCCCUGGCGGGUCGUUGAGCCGAUGAACGCGUUUUGACAGCACUGCUCUAGUAUAGAAAAGUUUCGUAUUUCGUGUUGGUCGUCAACAAAUUUUCACAAUGUAAAGACUUUAAUAUCUACUAUAAAUUACAUUGAAAAUCGGCUAAUGUGAUUGAAUAAUAUAUUUGAAAUGAUUGUUGUCUAAAGGCAAUUGAAAAGGCGGAUUUGGUGGUAAUUUAUAAACAAAUAUAUGAUUUGUAAAUGUAGUUAACUAAAAUCAUGUCAGCAAGUUUUCAUUUGAUUGUUUUUUUUUGUAAGUUAAAUGAAUGAAGCUCCAAAUAAAAGAUUGUGCUCACACUGGCGCAAGUCGAGUUGAAUCUGUAGUACGUUCUAUUAUGUUCGAUAAGUGCACAUAAGCUUGGUGGUGACAAGCAUAUUUGGAGAUUACAAAAGUUUAUAAAAUUCAUUGAGAUCAAAAUAUUUAUAAAAGUGAAGUAAUUGAAAAGUGAAUUGUGUACAUGCAUGGCGAUAAAUUAAGUAAACGAAAUUUCUUUGUAUUCGCACAAGAAAAGACUAGUGCAGUAUUAAAGUUUAUUGUGAAUGAGAACUGUGAAAGCGAUGCGCUCUAACAUUGAAUGAACCCCUCUAGAGUUAAUCAAAAUAGAUAUGCUUCGUCAAUGAGAGAAUUUGAAUAUUUGGUAGCUUGAGCAAAUUAAUCAUGUGAAGUAUUGUAUUUAAUCUGAUGGAAAUAUCCUAAAUACUGUGGGUUAUAAAAAAGUACAGCACAAAAUCAGCAAUUUAGAGUACACAAGUUGCAAGUCUUUUGUCUGAUUGACCAUUGUUGCAAAAAUGUCGGAAGAUAACGCUUAUAAGGAUGGCGACAUCGUUUGGGUGAAACUGGGCAAUAACUGGUGGCCUGGUGAAGUCACCGAUGUGCAUCGUCAGCCUGAUGACCUUCUCAAACAACUAAAAAAGAAACCCUAUUGCGUUGUAAAGUUUUUCCAAGAAGAUGCCUAUGAAUAUAUAAAGAGUGCAAAACAAAUAUUUCCUUUCCAAUGCAGCAAAAAAGAUGAGUUUAUUAAAAAAGGGACUGCUUUAUAUAAUGCCAAAAAUAAAUUUAUGGAGAAGUUCCCCUCAGAUGUGGAGACCGCUGAGCGUUUAACACGUAAAACUAUUGAUUCAGAUUUGCUGAUUAUAAAUGAUCGUCCAGAUAGCAUUGUCAAGGCAAUACUAGGACCGACUCUUACACGACGAAGUGACGAUUAUUACGACAAUGAAUACAUACAUAGUUCCACCAAUGACUACAACAAUAAACGCAGAAGUGGGGAUUCUGUAACAAAAAUCCUCAACAUUACACCGAAACGUACAACAGCAGCAGCAAACCUUUCUCCAGAUAAAGGAAAAUCAAUAAUUUCACCGCAUAGCACUUCAAGUUUCGUAACGAACUCUAUCCCCAGCAGUGCAGAAACGAAUUUUUAUCGAUGUAAUUUGUGCGCUUUCUCUAGCCAAAGGCAAAAUGUUAUGAUCUUACAUCGACGGACACAUAGCGGCAGUGGCACGCCGACAUCCGCACAGACGCCUUCAACGUCCAAUGCACGCAAGGUACCUUCGGCUACUAUAACUUCAGAAAACGAGUGUAAGAGCUAUAUAUCUACGAUGACUUGGAAGCUUCAAUUACCUACAAUAUCUUCGAAAUGCGAACGAAACUCUUUGAGCGAAGAUGAUGAUCAAAAAUACCCUGCAGUACUCGACGCCAGCACAUUUCACAGAGCAAAGUCCACAAAAAAUGAAAUCUUGUCACCGGUGAAUAGUCGAAGCGUUAGUGGUACUAAAUACAAGCCUUAUCUACUCGCCGGAAGCGAAAGAGCAAGUCGCUCUUCUGCUGCAAGCACGUCGCGUGAGAAAGCAUACACAUCGUUGCGUAUUGAUGCCGAUAUAAAAGAAAUUACUUUGCCCGACGGAAUGCCAGUAUCUUCCAUAAAGGGAGAGCUUAAAUUAAGUAUUGAAGACGAUACCACCGAUAACUCAUCGUCACAUACGACAGAGGACAUAUUGAGAUCAUGUAGUCCGCGAAAGCGCAACAUUGAUUCCGGUGAAAUUAUUGAUAACAAAUCCACCGAGUUGAAAAGAACGGCUGAAGAAAUACGCCUACGGCUACUGGCUGACUGGAGCGACGGUGAAAAAGAGGAUGAGUUGAUUGACGGUGUAAAACUGAAUUUCAGUCUUGAAACGCCUUCAAAGAUAGAAACACCACAAUACAAAUUAGAUAAGUUAACAACAACCCCAUCAACAGAAGUGAAAAGUGAAAACUCUCCAUUGGAUUUGGCGACACCAGUAUGCACGACAAUAAAUAACUUUGGUGUACAAGCUUCAAGUCAGACUCAACAUCAAAAUCGUAUUAGAAACAUACCGAAGAAGGAUCGACGUGACGCGGUAUUAAAAGAAUUCAUAAAUGACUAUAAUUUAGAGUUGCCUACGGUGGUUGAUAAUAUGGAGAAUAUAAAUUGUAAUAGCAGCAGCAGCUCCGAUUCAGUGGUUGUAGUUGGGGUUGUACCGCCAAAUUGUGGCGAAACAAUUAUUCUCGAUGACAAUACAGGCACGGAUGGUGAAACAGAAUUAACGGUUGACAAAGAUCGAUUAAUCAGAAAUGAAGCAUCGAUAAAUAAUAUACAAUUCAAUGAUAUAACAAAAGAUACAAGUUCUAUUACGAGCGUGGUACAAGAAGAACACUUAUCUGAAGAACAUCUAAAAGAGUCGAAUAUUGAAGGGCCAGUGCCAAUGAAAUGCACUGAUGUAUCGACUAACCAAAAGCAAGUUAAUAGACUUGAUGAUAAACGUGAAGAAGAAUUUCAGUCAGAGCAACAAGAAAACGCAGCAACGCGUGAACUUGAAUUUAGGUCCACUGAGGAAAAUGUACAAAAAAAAUCGAGAGAAGAAAUUAAACAAGAUUUGAAGUCAGAAAGCGAAGAUGUCAAGCAACCGAAACAAAAGUGUCUCGCAAAGGGGCAAAAAUCAGAUAAAAGGCGAAGGAAUUCAAAGGAAGUUCUUAAUGAUAGUUCUGAAAAUACAACAGCAAAUAAAUUGGUAGAGGAAUUGCCAAACGUACAAACUGCUCAUGAAAAAGUAGAACUUAUGUCAGCGUCACCACAACGCUUGAAAGAAGAAGAACAACCUCACACCAGCGCUCCCGCGAACCCGCGGACCGAUUGUUUUGAUUUUCAAGAGGAAGAAGAUGAAACUAGCAGCGACGCACUAAAAUCUAUAGCCGAUUUCAAAAAGAAAUAUUUGUCUCCGGAGAAAGGACAAGACAAACCUCAGACUGAUAGUUACAUAUUGCCCGAAAGCGAACGACAACUUUCAACUGAGCAGAGGGAUCAACAGUUGUCGGAUGAUAUCGAAAAAUUGCUUGAACAAACAACAGCACCCAAAAUUUCGGAAGAGGCGUCUCUUGGGGACAUUUCGCCAACACAGUCUUUCUGCAGUAGCAAGGAGGAGUUGCCAGUUAAAGGUUUACCGAUUAAAGAACGAGGCAAACGUAUAUUCAAAUCUCGUAAUCGUUCAAGGAUUGAAGAGCUGCCUACAUCAACAGCAGACAGUUCGGAAAUUGUUCUAUCAGGGCAAGCAAUCGAUGCUGCCGGGACAAAAAUGGAUGAAAAUGGAACAGUGACAGUUACUGAGCAAAUCCAACUCGAGGAAAAAAAUAUGUUUAGUGAGAAAGUUGAACCGAACACAAAAGCAAAUCAACAAAAACAAUAUGCUCCUAUAGAUGACGUCGAUGAGUAUGAAAAUGAAAAGCAAUCUUUGACAUUUACAGCCCCUGCUUUAGAAAUGAAUGCUGUAAAAACGAAUGAUUUUCAAGUAAUGGAACAAGAUAAAGAGAAUGAAGGAAAUAUCGAAAUCGUGCGGCUCGAUUCCGUCGAGGAAACAACUGUAUUAAAAGUAAAAAAUUUAAAAAAUGGUUCAUUGGCUACUUCUACUACGACGAUGGAGGUCUUACAUUGUGCAAGCUUGGAACAAAAGAAAUCCGCUAUUCUAGAAACUAAUGAAACACUUUUAUGUCUAACAGAUACAGAGAUUUGCAAUCAUGAUGAUUUACAAUUCUCAAAGCAAAAUAUUGAAAACACAGAACGAAAAAACGGAUGUGAAACCGAAAAUUUAGAGCCAAUUAUGGAGGACAAUGUUAAAGAAACUGAACAUUUUCCACCACAUGAGAAUAUUUCAGAUGAACUGAAGACACUAAAAGAUCAUUACAGUACUGCCGACAAUACCGCAGAUUUGGAGGAUAUUCAAGAAAUUUGCGAUAUACCCACGAGUGAGGACAGAACUACUAUCGGGGAAGAAAGUUCGCAAGAGAAGUUUAAAUCUAAUGCUACAUCCGAAAGGAAAAUGAUAAAUGAAGAUAAGAGUAAUGAUUUAAAUAUUCUACUACCCACAACGACAUUGUCUAAUAUACAUAGUGAAAUAAAUUUGAUGGAUGCAUGUACGGUUGAAAACAAAGAACAAUCUGAAGUCACGGACAUAAAGCACCAGUUAAAUAAUGAUGAUAAAGCGUUGGAACAAGAAACGGAGAAUUCUUUGGCUGUAAAUAUAAAGAAUAAUAUAGUGGAGGAACAACAACAUGACGUCAUGUUGUUAGGUGAAGAAGUGCUACAAAGCCGUCUCACUUCGCCAACUGAUGACAACAGUUCAAUUUGCAUUUCUGAAACGGGUGCAGAGUUUGGAUCGCCCACCUCAAUGUUAGACGAUGAGCGUUUGCCUACUUUGACUGACAGGCUGAUGACACCCACCGAAGGGUUGGUAGAGACAACACCUUCACAAGACGAAGAUGCAAAAACACUAUUGGAACAAGAAAUAAAUAUUGUAGGAGGAGAUGAAGUAAACGAUAUGCAAAACCAAAACAAAAAUAUAGAAUCAAUAGACGAAGUGCUUGUACCCUUGGUUGAGAGCAGAGAAGAUUCAAUAACUAAAAACCAGAAAAUAUUAGGAGAUGUAAUGCAAGAGAUAACACGUGAAAGUGAAAUGAAUGACAAUGAAACGCAUACACAUGUUGUGGAAGAAUGCGAUGGAAAUGCUAAAGAUGAAAACUCUGGACUCGUAGAAACAAGCUUACAAAAAAAGAACAUGGAAUCUGUAUUGAAAGAAGAUGAGAUUUCAAGAGAGGAAAAGGAGCAGGAAAAGGAUGGCAAUGAGCAGGCUACAAGCGAUGUAAAUAACUGUCUUAUUGAACAUGUGGAAAUUCCCGAAAACAAUAAAAAUGAUGAGUCAAAUAUAUUAGAAUAUAAUAAUAGUGUAGUUGAUACACCGCGUACUGAAACCGAUGAAACUCAUAUAAAUUUUGAGGAAACUGAAACGCCUGAAAUACAAAACCAAACAGAAAUUGUUGUAGUGGCGCGUGAAGUAACAGAUGAGGCACAGCAGAAAGAAUCUGAAAAAGAAAAAGAUACAGAAGAUAUUGUAAAUAAUGUUAUUGAAGAACAAAAUGAAGAUAACGAAAAUCCAUCUAAGGAGGAAGACAACAUUGUCGAAAAUAAAUUAACUGAAGAUCAGUUGCAGAUUGAAAACGGGGGAAAUCAAGAAGACAACAAAACACUAAGCACAGAUGUUUUAAAUAAUGAAGUGUCUAAUGAAGAAUCAGCUAAAGUCAUUGAGCACGCACAGCAUGAGGAAUCCGAUGCAGAUGACGAUUUCAUCGAGAGUCCACCUCAUGAACCCCUUUCCGGACAUGAAGGGGAAGGUGAUACAGAAACAUUUGCGACAAAACCAAAAUUAUUAAAUAAAACACAUAAGUGGCGUGCAACAUCGAAUUCAUCGAGCAACUCACCAAACUCAUUUUCUGAAUUUACCAAAGAUACAACCAGUAGAAAACGACAUACCCGAACGUUGAAACAACAAAAAGAAAAAUCGAAUGAUUUUAUGAAAGAGCUAGAUUUAACAGAUUUAAAUGACAAAGAUAAUACGACGAUAUGUCAAAACCAACGAAAAUCAACGAAAGUUGAAAAACGAGCGCAAAAAGAAACAGAUACAAAAAAUGAUGACGUCGUUGUUGAAGCCAAAGCAGAAAAACAAGAUACUGUCGCCGAUCAAAUUGGAGUUAAUCACCUGAAUAUAACAACUCAACAACCACACAAUGAAAAUUCUGAUCCCACAUUGGUCGUUUUGCCCACCGAUACAUAUGCUAAUCCACAACCAGACGAGCAGGUUAAUGAAUUACCGACUGGCCAAGCUCCCAUAAAUCGGUUGCCUGGAGUAAAAUCUGAAUUUUCUCGCAAGCGACGUAGCGCAACAAAACCAACUCCUCGGCGUAAUGCGGUUGCGGCAAAAAACUACGUAAUGGAAGAGAACGAUGUAAAUAACGAAGAAGAGGACAUACAGCAUCUGAAGAGUCGAAAAUUGGAGAGCCCAAAUAUCACCAAUACAAGUAUUGAAACUAUGGAAGUAACCGAGGAGAUAAAAACUACGCCAAAUGAGAUAAGAAACUACGAAGAUGAAAAUAAGAGUAAUUAUAUGAAGGAAUUGGAGGGAUCAGAAGAAACCGUCGAAUUUAAUGCUAAUGAACCAGCAGACUCUCUUAUAAUAGAGGAUGACCAGUGCAUAAUUGAAGAAGUAUACCUAAAUGAUACAGUGUCAGUGCAACAAAUAGCUAUAGAGGAAUUGCCAGAUAAUAGUACCACAAAAGAUGAGAACACUUCGGAAACAACAGUCUCUGAGUUAAAUUCGUUUCAUCCUAUUGAUGUACCCAACGCAGUGGAGUAUGUGAAUUACUCUUCAAUUGAAAAUCAACAACCGAUCGAAGAGGUAAUAGUAGGAGCUACCAACCAAGUGGAGACAGCCACGGACAUUGACUCACUGCGAAAUACAGACGAGGGCUCAAAUAUUGCAAAUGAGACCUCGAAUAAGCGGCUGGUGCCUGCCAUUAAUCCACAUCCUAAAGCAGAUAACACAUGUGUCAACAUUUCUCCUAUGGAGAAGGUUCGGAUCAACGUAGAUGUCGCCAAUCCACUUUCGACACAAAUAGCAAAUAUUUUAGCCACAAAAUCUGCAACUGGUGCAACAUUAACGGCAACAAAGCAAAGGAAGUCCAAUCUUGAAGAAUCUAUACCAUCAUUUAUAAUCGAGCGACCAGGACAGGGGGUGGGUACACAUCAACAUCAACAAAAACAACAUGCAUCAUCUUCCGGUUUAGAGUUUAUUGGCGAGCAAGAUGCUGUUGCACACGUUCAGCAAAUGUGCCCCCAGGUUAAAAUCACCCGAAAAGAAAAAUUGAUUGAAGUAGCGUCAACAGCUACCGUGAUAGAACAGGAACAAGCUGGAGCACCUUCCAAUGCUAUGUUCGACAUCAGCAAUAUGCCUAUAGUGCUUGGUAAUGAACAUUUUAUGUCAGCACAGGGUGAUAUGCAAAUUGUAUUGACGUCAUCCGCAGAAACAGAAGAGCAUUUAGGUUCAGACGGCCCACAGAUUUUACAACAACAAAUUAUUCAACCUGCAUACAGAACGACACAGCAAGUUUCUCAGCAACGGCAACGCAAACGAUCCACAAGUCAACAGCCGCAACAAGCGAGCACCGUGGGAGGUAAUAAACACGGUAUAAUUAUAAUUAAGGCGGCGCCGAGUGAUUUGAUAAUACAACAGACACCUUCAGUUCAAGUGACCCAAUCGCAAUCGCAGUCGGUUCCCGGUGGUGUCACACAACAAUUCUCAACAUCAUCCACCGACACAAUGACCACAUAUAAUCUCGGUUCCGGUGUCACUUUGCGUCCAAUAGCUGAACCGAAACAAAAACAACAGCAACGCCAACAACAGCAACUUCAGCAGAAGCAGCAACAGACUGGUAACAAGACAAAACCUGCGGCGUCCUCAUCAACCGGUGGCCGCAAACACGCUGGCAAUACAAUAACAUUGCCAAGCACUAUUACGGUGAAGCAUCGUCAACAAAAAAUUGCAGAGGAUCAAACAAAUGCAGUAGGCAGCGCAGUAGCAGUUAAUGAACAACAAUCGCAACUAACUCCUUCGGCAAAUGUUAAAGGUCAAAAGCGUAAUCAUCCAACGAACUCAAGACGCUCACAAACUCAGUCGCAGAUAGUUCAGCAGCGUCGAUUAACUGCUACGGCGAGCAAUUUGGGGGAACUUCAGCAAAAAGAUCAACAACUAUCUACUAGUGACGACUGUGCGUCGCUAAAUAGACGAUUAAGUCACUCGGAAGGACAUGCGCCACCACCCGCAAAAAUAUCCCGAAGCACCGCUACUGGCUCAUCUACUUUCGACAACCACAACGAGCCAACAUUUGCUGCAACGGCGGAACAACAACUUUUACAACUGCAGCAGCAACAAUUACAACAACAUGCAGUACAAUCUCCGACGACGACGGAGCCACCGCCGCUACAUCCGCUGCACAAUCGCAAACAACGUCAUUCAUCGCAACACAAUCGACGAUUGAGCACAAAAGCCGAGCUGUCAGCACAAAUGUGCUUGCAAGAACAAGCCCAGCAGCAGCAGCAACAACGAUUACAGUCAACACAGAUGGUAUUGUUGGAUCAACAGCAGCAACAGGGUUUUGAAGAGCAACAACAAGAGCAGCACAUGACUGCAGUUCAUAUAGCAGAGUUAGCGUCGGAAUCGCCGUCAGCUGAAAUUAUUCCAGCGGAAUUUGAAGCGAUACAAAUGCAAGAUCAAGUGCCUGAGGUCUACACCGAAGAAAUUUUAGCUGAAGAAUUUGAAGCGAAUGAGCAUACACCAUCAGUAAUAGCCGUGCCGGCACAGUCAGUACCAGGCUACCCCGACACGCUAUUAUUAUGUCGAAAAGUAGGUGAGGAGUGGGUCCCUAUAGUAGCUCAGCCUUACUACUAUACACGCUGUGACCAACAAUUAAGGCCCAUACCAAAGGAAGUACUUAUCGGACACCCGAUAUUGACGCCGAAUGCAGAUAAAACACCAGAUUUUCAUACCGCCGAAGUAGAAACGGAAGAUGUACAGACGACGCCUGCUAAUGAAGCGUACAAAGGAGAGACAGGAGUUACCAUUUUAAUUGGCUCUGAAUUAGUACAUAUGGAAUGGGAUCAGUUUUUGGAGGUUAUGCGUUCAACUGAUGAUUUGUUUGAUUUGCGCGAUCACCUUGGACGCGUAUUCCAGCUGACGCGGGAUGCAUUAGAUACCCUACAACAGGAUGUUAAUUUGCAAGAAAAAUUUCGGCAACUACAGCAGUUGUUGGAAGAACAACAAUUAGAAGAACAGCAGCAACUUGAGCAACAAGAGAUAUUGCAACAACAAUUCAUACAGCAGUUGCAAACAGUUACAGUUGCUGGAGAUGAAGGAUUAGAAGCUGAUAUCAUACCAUUGUUACAAAUAGACACAUCGCAAACGUUACAGCUAAUAGGAACGGAUGACGGCAGUCUUAUACUACAAUCAGCUCUGACGCAACCACCACUUUCUCCACCAUGCACGCGCCCUGCACUAACAAAUGCGACAAAUGCGCUGCUAAACCAAACGCCCAUCAUGUCACCGCUGGAAAAGCCAUCUACAGCUGCUAAUACCGCUUUGAUAGCCGAAAAUUCGGGACAAAACAUUGACCUGUCCUCAGCAACAACAGUCGACCAUCUUGGAGCAGGUGGUUUUAUUGCGUCGGAUUCAGGGAGUGGCAUGCCAAGUUUGGGUGAUAGUCUGGCUGUUAUAGGAGUUGUGCCUACACAACCUACACUGCUGCCCACCACCGUAACCAAUCCAGCGAUUGCGCCACCAAAGUCUGAUUUAAUACCGAACAUGACAACGGCAGCCCAAAUGCACGCACAAUACCGGCAUGCGCAGCGUGCAAUAUACAAUGAUCCUGGGAGUUAAUAUUGCCCAAAUAUGCUCUAUUUAGACAAUGGGAACAAUGGUCUAUUAGGGGAUGUGCGAAGGUCGGGGAAUGCUGCAGUCCAAGUGGGCGUUGGUACUACUGUGGAACGUGCGGGCGCUGUUGACAUGGGGGUGGAUGAAGUGAAUGAAAUGAAUGAUGUGAAUUUGGAUACAAAUGUGGUGGAGUAGUCCAUGGAACGCAUUGGUUGGGUCGCCAAAAUAACAUUUCUUUCCUGGAUAUAGUAAAGCUUUAUAUACAUUCGUAGCCUCUCUUAGCUGAGCAUAUCGGUGAUCUACAGAAAACAAGGUUUUCUCAUACAAAACCAGUUUAAACAACAAGGACACACUUGUAGUUCUUCUUUAAUAAAUAAUUGUAUUUUUACUGCAUAUACAUAUACAUUUGUAUAAA
rnacentral:misc_RNA from 1 species